rnacentral:tRNA from 1 species
GCGGGCGUAGUUCAGUGGUAGAACGCCAGUUUUCCAAGCUGGCUACGAGGGUUCGAUUCCCUCCGCCCGCACCA